UGCACUCCAACUGCUCGUUCCUGCUGCCACUUUUGCCUCCACCCCGCCUGCGACGUGCCUGCACUGGCCACUUCCCUCUUGCCCUGAAGAUUCCACUAGGCGCUAAAGCUUCUAUUCUGGCGCCCUGAAACAUAUUUGUACAAUCCGGCCAAUCAGGCGCUUUUUGUAGGGGCGUCGCCUGGGCGUUCCCGCCAAUCAGCUUCGAAGUCCUGCUCGGAUUGUUGGCGCUAGACUCGGCGCGUUCUGUCUCCGGGUCCCGCGCCUUCCUGCUGGCAGCUUCGGCUCUUUCCCCGCCGUAGCUGCCGCCCUCCCCUCCCACCUUUGUGGUACCUGGCAAGCCUGGGGCGGAGGGGCUGAGCUGUGAGGAGCGGGGGGGAAGGGCCGAGCCGCGGCUUUUGUGAGGCAGGAAUGGGCAGCUCCAGUGCCGCGCUGGAGAAUGGGAGAAAGUGAACAGAACAGAUGGAGCCUGGAAACCUAAGACGGAGGGACGCUGUGAAGGGUGGCGGCGGCCCGCUGCCUUCUGCCUCCCCUUCAGCCUGCUGUUAUAGAGGCUUUUUGGCAGCGUUCUCUAAGAACUUAGGAAUGUGAUUUAUUUCCUGUCUGAGGAUUACUGGCUUGAAAGUCAGUGAUGUGUCCACUGCAGAAGGAGAGGAAGGGCGGUGAAGACCUCUGCUCCCAACUGGCUAGCUACUUGCUGAAGACCCUCCUCUGCUCCCAGUUGGCUACCUACUUGCUGAAGACCCUCCUCUGCUCCCAAUUGGCUAGCUACUUGCUGAAUUGGCUAGCUCCUUGCUCCCAACUGGCUAGCUACUUGCUGAAGACCCUCCUCUGCUCCCAGUUGGCUACCUACUUGCUAAAGACCCUCCUCUGCUCCCAGUUGGCUAGCUACUUGCUGAAUUGGCUAGCUCCUUGCUCCCAAUUGGCUAGCUACUUGCUGAGGGGAUACCCCUCACCUCAGCCUAUUUAACAGGCUUCAGAAAGUUAGCACUGAGUGUUCCCAUUGAAAUCAAUGGGACAAAUAAUCUUGUCCCAUUAAUUUCAAUAAGACUGCUUAUGAGUAACACAGUGUGGGUGUGAGUCAGUGACUGUAGUAGCACUCAGAUUUGUGUUUUAUGUAUAUAUGUGUACACACUCACAAUUAAUUGUUACAGUUAUGAGACAGGCUACUCCAGUCACUGGCUUGCAUCCAGAUUAAGUUAUUCAUAAGCAGUCUUAUUGAAAUUAAUGGGACAACUUUACUUGCCCUAUUAAUUUCAAUAGGAGAGAACUUAGUCUGGAUGGAAACCAGUGACUAGAGUUGCAUGUCUUAUAAUUGUACCAUUUAAGUAUGCGUGCGUGUAUGUAUGUGCGCGCGCACACACACACACACAAUCUCUACAGGGUACUGAUCUGAAGGUUUGUGACGGAAGGGAUACCCUUGUUUUAAAGGAAGACUGAGAAUCCCUGCCUUAUGGGGAUCCCUUUGUGCACAUGUUCUGUGUCCACACAGGGAAAGAAUCUGCCCUCAAUAUGCCGUUUUCUUCAGAACAAUGCACAUUUAAACACGUAGUUGAUUAAAAUGCACAAAGUUAGUCAAAUAAGAUUUAUUUAAGUGGGCAUCAGCCCUACAAAUCAUGAAAAAGAUUUAUUUCCAUGUAGUGGCUCCAUAUUGGUUAGUAUUUUCAUAGCACUCAAGAAAAAAAUAUUGCUACAAAGAAUCCUGCACAGUUGCUGAACCUAAAUUUCUCCGUGAGACCCUUUGGAACAAUGCCCCGGAACACCGCACAUCUGAGCUGUGUGUUUGCUUUCUUUGUUUUCACUUAGCUUUCCUUUUUGCCGCCUUCAGUGCAGGUCUACUGAUUCAGCAUUCAUUUAUUGUUCUGCAGGUUACUUAUGCUGCCAUCUCAAGUUACGUGACUUUAAUGGGGGUUUUAACUUAAAUCAGUUUCAGAUCGCCAAGCCUUAACUAAUUGAUAAAAUAUUGAUUUUUGAGUAACAAUUUCAAAGUGAUCGGACACAAGCCUUACAUUUAACUUAAAUGAACAACUCUGAUUACUAGAGAGAAAAAGUUAAUGACCAUGGAAGGAAAUGGUACAAAUUAGAUUUUUAGCAUAGUCACCCUUUUUAUUUUGUUUCUGGUGCAAUUCAAGGUGCUAUUUAUUACUUUUACAGCUUUAAAUAGCUUGGGACCAAAGUACCUAAAGGACAGCCUCUCUCCAUAUAUAAGAUGGCCCAUCCCCUAAGACAAUCAGGUUAGGUAGGCCCUCUUGAAUGUUCCACUGCCUUUAGAGGUACAAUAAUAGACAGCAACAAGUGAGGGGACCUUUUCCAUGCAAGCACCUUGUAUGUGGCACACAUUGCCACUGGAAGUUAGAAUCAUCCCUUUUGUGAUCAAUUUGCUACUGGUUCUUGAAAUUUUAUUCCAGCAAGCAUUUUAAUUGGUUAUGCUGCUCCAUGUUAUCCCAAUGAUUGAGUAUUGAUGUAUUGUUUGUUGAUGCAUUGCAUUUAUUGCUUUAUUAAUUUUUUUUUAGUGUGUUAUUGUUUGCAAUUUGAUUGUUAGCUGCUUUGGACAUCUCUGCUGAAGAGAAAAAGCAAAGUAUAAAUAUUUUAAAUAAACUGAGGGGAGGCA